rnacentral:rRNA from 1 species
GACGAACGCUGGCGGCGUGCCUAAUACAUGCAAGUAGAACGCACAGUUUAUACCGUAGCUUGCUACACCAUAGACUGUGAGUUGCGAACGGGUGAGUAACGCGUAGGUAACCUGACUGGUAGCGGGGGAUAACUAUGGGAAACGAUAGCUAAUACAUCAUAAUAUUAAUUAUUGCAUAAUAAUUAAUUGAAAGGUUCAAUUUCACCACUACCAUAUUGGCCCGCGUUGUAUUAGCUAGUUGGUAAGGUAACGGCUCACCAAGGCAACGAUGCAUAGCCGACCUGAGAGGGGGAUCGGCCACACUGGAACUGAGACACGGUCCAGACUCCUACGGGAGGCAGCAGUAGGGAAUCUUCCGCAAUGGGCGAAAGCCUGACGGAGCAACGCCGCGUGAGUGAUGAAGGUCUUCGGAUCGUAAAACUCUGUUAUUAGGGAAGAACAAAUGUGUAAGUAACUAUGCACGUCUUGACGGUACCUAAUCAGAAAGCCACGGCUAACUACGUG